UGAUGGGUAGCUGGCCUGAGAGGGUGGUCAGCCACACUGGGACUGAGAUACGGCCCAGACUCCUAAGGGAGGCAGCAGUCGAGAGGCAUCCGCAAUGGGCGAAAGCCCGACGGUGCGACGCCGCGUGGACGAUGAAGGCCUUCGGGUCGUAAAGUCCUGUCACAGGGGGGAGAACAGUCCCCAUAUUAAUAGUAUGGGGAUCUGACGUUGCCCCUGGAGAAAGACCCGGCUAACUCGGUGCCAGCAGCCGCGGUAAUACGGAGGGGUCGAGCUUAUUCGGAUUCACUGGGCGUAAAGGGCGCGUAGGCGGGAUCGUGGGUCGGCCGUGAAAUCCACCGGCUCAACCGGUGAACUGCGGUCGAAACUACGAUUCUUGAGUUCGGUAGAGGAAUGCGGAAUUCCUGGUGUAGCGGUGGAAUGCGUAGAUAUCAGGAAGAACACCGGUAGCGAAGGCGGCAUUCUGGGCCGUAACUGACGCUGAGGCGCGAAAGCCGGGGGAGCGAACAGGAUUAGAUACCCUGGUAGUCCCGGCCGUAAACGAUGGGUACUAGGUGUAGGGGGUACUGACCCCCUCUGUGCCGCAGUUAACGCAUUAAGUACCCCGCCUGGGGAGUACGCACGCAAGUGUGAAACUCAAAGGAAUUGACGGGGCCCCGCACAAGCGGUGGAGCAUGUGGAUCAAUUCGACGCAACGCGAAGAACCUUACCGGGGUUUGACAUGUACCGGACAACCAUGGAAACAUGGUCUCCCUUCGGGGUCGGUACACAGGUGCUGCAUGGCUGUCGUCAGCUCGUGUCGUGAGAUGUUGGGUUAAGUCCCGCAACGAGCGCAACCCUCGUCGCCUGUUGCCAUCAGGUUAAGCUGGGCACUCUGGCGAGACUGCCCGCGAUAUGCGGGAGGAAGGCGGGGAUGACGUCAAGUCCUCAUGGUCCUUACAUCCCGGGCUUCACACGUGCUACAAUGGCUGGUACAAAGGGUUGCAAUACCGCGAGGUGGAGCCAAUCCCAAAAAGCCAGUCUCAGUUCGGAUUGGAGUCUGCAACUCGACUCCAUGAAGUCGGAAUCGCUAGUAAUCGUGGAUCAGCAUGCCACGGUGAAUACGUUCCCGGGGCUUGUACACACCGCCCGUCAAGCCACGAAAGCUGAUAGUGCCCGAAGUCGCUGAGCUGACCCGCAAGGGAGGCAGGCGCCGAAGGUAAGAUUAGCGAUUGGGGCUAAGUCGUAACAGGUA
rnacentral:rRNA from 1 species